rnacentral:tRNA from 1 species
UCCCUGGUGGCUCAGAUGGUAAAGAAUCUGCCUGCAACGCAGGAGACCCAGGUUCGAUUCCUGGGUCGAGAA